UACAGAGGUGGCAAGCGUUGCUCGGAAUUACUGGGCGUAAAGGGCGCGUAGGCGGUCCCGUCAGUCCCUUGUGAAAUCCCCCGGCUCAACUGGGGAACUGCAAGGGAUACAGCGGGGCUUGAGUUCGGGAGAGGGAAGCGGAAUUCCGGGUGUAGCGGUGAAAUGCGUAGAUAUCGGGAGGAACACCAGUGGCGAAGGCGACUACCUGGCCUGUUCUUGACGCUGAGGCGCGAAAGCUAGGGGAGCAAACGGG
rnacentral:rRNA from 1 species